rnacentral:rRNA from 1 species
UACAGAGGGUGCAAGCGUUAAUCGGAGUUACUGGGCGUAAAGGGCGCGUAGGCGGUGAGAUGAGUGUGAUGUGAAAGCCCCGGGCUUAACCUGGGAAGCGCAUCGCAAACGAUCUGACUGGAGUAGAGAAGAGGGUGGCGGAAUUUCCGGUGUAGCGGUGAAAUGCGUAGAUAUCAGGAGGAACACCUGUGGUGUAGACAGCUUACUGGACCACUUCUGACGCUGAGACACGAAAGCGUGGGUAGCAAACAGG